UGGGGUGUGCACCUCUAGGUCUUCUUGAAUGUGCACUGAGAGUUCCCAAUGCUAAAGAGUAUCUAGUUCCAUAUAUUUCCUUUGAAGGAGUGCGGCGCAUAUGCAAAUGCGAGGAGCAAUGAAAAUGCAUAAGGAAACAUAAAGAAAAUAACCAUUUCCCCCUUCAUUGAGAGAGGAUCCGGCUCGUCUCCAACUACUGACGCUCCAACGAGCAUCCAACAACCUCGUAGAUGGUCGACGCAUGGAGACGAGCAAUCCAACGGCUCCGGCUCGUGAACGACCUCGACGACUGGAGACGGUGGUUUUUGAAUUUGACUCGUCUCCCUCUUUCUCUCUUCACACCACAGUACCAACCCCCCUCCCAACUACUCUGUACUCAGGUGGUUAACAGAGGAGAAGCAGUCCAAGCCGUCGUUCAGUCGUCGUUCAACGAGUGAGACAAGGAUCCAGUUAUGCUCGUCUGAAGCUGUCGUCCAGCCGUCGUUCAAGGCUUAAGCAGAUUUUCAAACAGCCGUGGAAACCCUACCAUCGUUCAGCGAGGGAUUGAAAUCAAACAUUGAGACUCUGUUUCUCUCUCUCUCUGUUCGGCAGGAUCAUUGAGCAGUGUUUAAGAUCGCAGAGCUUUCAAAGGGGUUGUAGUUGGGUAGCUUCAGGAUCGUAGAGCUGCAUAUCAAGAUCAAAUGUCUAUCUCGAGUGUUAAUUGUAGUAAUCCUGAUGUAUUUAAGUACAGAUGCAUCAGGUGUCGAUGUAAUCGAAAAGCUGCAAUUAGGAUCUCAAAGACCACAGAGAAUCCAAAUAGACUCUUUUACGGGUGCCCAGAGUUUACAUGUAACUACUUCGCUUGGUGUGAUCCUAUAAAUGCACCAACAACGGAGUCUCCGCGUAAAGAAGUCCCAAUAAACAAUCUCGCACAUGACUUUCAAGAGAUGCAAGAAGAGGUGCGAAGGUUGUGAGAGGAGGUGCGAGUGUUAUGAGAGGAGGUGUUGGUGUUGCGAGAGGAGAUACAAGGGUUGCAAGAGGAGAUGCACAGUGAAAAAAUUAGAAUAGAUGAAGUGGAAAAAUUUGUUGGAUCAAUGAAGGUUGUAGCUAACUUUGUAUUUGUUUAUUUAGUCGGUGUAUUUGUAACAAUUGUGAUUGGUAGAAGAAUGUGACGAUGUUAUGUAACUGAAAGAGAUGUUAGUAAUGAAAUGGUGUUCUCUUUA